rnacentral:rRNA from 1 species
UACGAAGGGGGCGAGCGUUGUUCGGAAUUACUGGGCGUAAAGGGCGCGCAGGCGGCCCUUGAAGUCAGGCGUGAAAGCCCCGGGCUCAACCUGGGAGGUGCGCUUGAUACUCGAGGGCUUGAGUGCGGGAGAGGAGAGUGGAAUUCCCAGUGUAGAGGUGAAAUUCGUAGAUAUUGGGAAGAACACCGGUGGCGAAGGCGGCCACCUGGACCAACACUGACACUGAGGCACGAAAGCGUGGGGAGCAAACAGG